UGAACGCUGGCGGCGUGCCUAACACAUGCAAGUCGAACGGAGAAUUACGCUGAUGAAGCUUCGGCAGAUUCUGUAAAUCUAGUGGCGGACGGGUGAGUAACGCGUGGGCAACCUGCCUCAUACUGGGGGAUAACAGCUGGAAACGACUGUUAAUACCGCAUAAGCGCACGGUAUCGCAUGAUACAGUGUGAAAAACUCCGGUGGUAUGAGAUGGGCCCGCGUCAGAUUAGCCAGUUGGCAGGGUAACGGCCUACCAAAGCGACGAUCUGUAGCCGGCCUGAGAGGGCGGACGGCCACAUUGGGACUGAGACACGGCCCAAACUCCUACGGGAGGCAGCAGUGGGGGAUAUUGCACAAUGGAGGAAACUCUGAUGCAGCGACGCCGCGUGAAGUGAAGAAGUAUUUCGGUAUGUAAAGCUCUAUCAGCAGGGAAGAAAGACUCGUAAGAGAGAUGACGGUACCUGACUAAGAAGCCCCGGCUAACUACGUGCCAGCAGCUGC
rnacentral:rRNA from 1 species